rnacentral:tRNA from 1 species
CGCCUGGUAGGACUUGAACCUACAACCCUCGGAUCCGAAGUCCGAAGCUCUAUCCUAUUGAGCUACAGGCGC